UACGUAGGGUGCGAGCGUUGUCCGGAAUUAUUGGGCGUAAAGGGCUCGUAGGCGGUUUGUCGCGUCGGGAGUGAAAACCUCGGGCUUAACUCGGGGCUUGCUUUCGAUACGGGCAGACUGGAGGUAUGCAGGGGAGAACGGAAUUCCUGGUGUAGCGGUGAAAUGCGCAGAUAUCAGGAGGAACACCGGUGGCGAAGGCGGGUCUCUGGGCCGAUACUGACGCUGAGGAGCGAAAGCGUGGGGAGCGAACAGG
rnacentral:rRNA from 1 species